AAUUAAAGUAAUUAAAUUAAGGCUUGAGGGUUUAAUUGAAGGAAUUUUCAGAAAUUAAAGAUCUUUUAUAAAGUUAAGGAACCUAAAUGAAUAAUUUUCGUAAAGAUGGGGUCAAAACCACAAUUAAUAAAGAAUAUGUGGCAGAUGGCAAAAUCCAGAAUAGAUGGUGUGUGACAUCCUUAAUACUUGUGGGUAGAUGGGAGCCAACUGCUUAAAUAGUUACGAGUGCUAGAACAAAAAUUUGACAUUGAAGCAGAAAUAGAAAACCCCUUACAAACAAUCUAAGUAUUAAUUCUUACAUCGAGGCCAUAAGGUGUCUAUCUUAAGUAUAAAAUACAAAAUGUAGAAUCCUUACGAAAAUUUACAUUAGAGUGUGGAAGAACUAUUGCACUCGAAUUAUGCUCUAAAGAAUCACCAAGGAUUUUUAAAUGGGUCUAGUCGGUCUCCAAGGGGGACUUAGGGAGCAAACACUCAAUUUUCUUAAUACCAGGGGCCACAAAUUAGGAGUGAGUUCCAUAUAAACUCAAUAAAGAGAACAAUAUUUAAAAUUACAUAACUAAAGUUUAAAGAGUAAAUGAUGUGAACAAUACUUGUUAUACCUCUUACUUGGGAGAACCGUCGCGAAAUGGAGUCAUUUAAUCAUUCAAAAAAUCCCUAUCUUUGUUAAGAAAUCAGGUGAGACAAUUAUACAACCAUGUUAAGAACACCAUUAAUCAACCUUUAGGCAAGCAUGUUACAUAAUAUAAAACCAAACAAAUGGCAUACUCGAUAAACUGAAAAGUCAGUCACAUAAACCAUCAUAGUGACACCAAUAACACAAACAACAUAUUUUACAAAUAUAAGAACCAUUAUACAAAUCACGAUUAGUAUUCUACAUCAUUUCUAGGCUUAUUAAAUCAUUUAUUGACCUUCACACGAAGCCGUUACGACAUAUAUCCACUGAGGGUAAAAGGGUUCCUCAGCUACCGCUGUGAAUCACCAACCAUUCCCAAGCCAAUCUCAUUUCAUUUCCCUAUCUAAACUAUGACCAAGGCCUUACUUUGCCACUGUUGCCCUAUAUAUACCUAAUGUGUAUCCGCUCUCAUCAGAGGAACUGUUGAUCAUCACAAGGAGCAGUUCACCGACACUUUUCUGGAGGAGGGAGAAACAAAAAUUCCACAAGUUAACAGUUGAAUGGAUUUUUCCAUUCUUUUCACUUGUUUAUGCUCACAAAAAUCUCAUGCCAUGUUAUUUAUGUCAAUGAAACUAUUUUUGAAUCCACUCAGAUUCCAUAACUUGUUCGAUCCAAAGGCCUCUUUUCACAUGCUCAGCUCGUAAGCCCAUUUUCCAUAUCCGGCCUGAAGGCCUAUUUACCAUACUUGACCUUCAGGUCAUCCUUUUGAGACAAGGCUUACUAGAAUGACCCUCUUCACCAUUACCAAGGCAAGAUAAACGCCAAACCCCCAUGAAGUUUCUAAUUGUCAUGUUUCUGUGCGUCAUGUGAAAUAUGUCAUGUGCUAAACAAUAUUAAAUAUCAAGGGGACUCAUGUGCAAGACAUCAAAUUUAAGAAAUGCCAUAUAGCAGCUGUCCUAGCAGGAAUAUAUGCAUUUAAUUGAUAAUUCACCAAACGAGCAUUAAUUAACAUAAACAACCAAAACAAGCAGGAAAGUCCAAUUCAACAAUCCCCCAUUUACAAAGGGUUAAAUUCUUGUUUUCCAAGCCGUCCUUCCUAACAUUUUUAUCAUGACUAAUUGUUAAAACAUGUCACAAAACAAGCAAUAAAACUUUUUUCAACAAAUAUCCAAUUUUCACUCAAAUUAAUUAACUAAAAAAAGCAUUUAGGAAUAUAAAUAAAAAUACUAAAGAAUUCUUUAGCGUAACCGAGUCGACUUAGUCUUUUGGAAAUGAAGGAAAGCUUUUAGAAAUUUCCUAACAAGUUUGUGAAAACUCUUACUUUCCUCCUUUCUUGCUCCUUUCUCUUUCUAAAGAUCUCUUUUCUCUCUCUCUCUCUCUUUAAUCUUGAUAAAUUGAAGAAGAAAAUGAUCAGAAAAAUGAAGAGGAGAUGAGAGCUUUAUAAAGGGGCAAGGAGGGUCGAAUUUGCGCCACGUGGAAAUGAUUGGAGACGUGGAGUAAAAGGGUGAAAAUGGGGCCCACAAAGCAUGGCCAAACAAGGCCAUGCAUGGCCAACAAGAUAAGGCUCAUCUCGUUAAUUGCGACUGUCAGUGCGCAAUAGCGCACUAUACACGCCCUACUACGCACUGUGUGCAUGCGUAGGUCGCCAUGCCGUGCACUGUGCAUGCACAGGCUACUUGCGAUGCAUUGGUGCAGCCCUGCUACACACUAAGCAUAGCCAUGUCAUGCAUUGUGCGUGUGUAAUACAGGCACAUUCAUGUGCAGGAUGGAAUCAAGGCACGUGGGUUCACCCGCACGAGCUGACUGUAGAUCAGACUAUAGGCUCAUAGGUUGCAGGCUCACGGAUUGCUUCCCAUUCGUGGAUUUCUUUACCGUUUUCUCCUGAAAAUAAUGUUAGUUCUGAAACAAAUUUUGGGAAUUUUAAUAAAAUCAUUUAAAUCAUCAUAAAAUGAACUAUUGGAAAAUUAAAUUACUAACAAAAUUUAAAUGGCCAAAGGCCCGAAAUACUAAAGUUCGAUGCUCGCUAAAUGCAACGAAUUUUUAGGGUGUUGCACAGUCAGGAUUAGAUCCCUUAAAAUUUGGUCUAGUGGCUCUUAACUGAAAUCCACUUAAACGACUCAUAUUGGAUAUGAUGAAAUCAGAUGAUGAGGGUUGGUGUAAUAAAAUGGGAAACCUUAAUUGAAUUUAUUUUUAUUCAAAGAAAAAGAGCCAAAAUUGAGAGAGGAAGAGAGCAAAGUUUGAGCGAAGAGAGAGGAAAGACCAUCAGAAGCUGAAAAGAGAAGGAGGAGGAGAAUGGUUAAAAGACGAUGGUGUCGCAGAGGUUGCAGAUUAAUGGAGAAUCAGAGGAAAGCAAAAGAGAGAAGGGAGCAUGGUGAGAGAAAGAGAGAGCAAGAGCGAGGAAAAGGAAAUGUGGCCAGAAGAAGAGGAGGGAAGAAAGGAAAUGCGACCUCGCCACUCGGGACAUCAAACAUCAAUGCAGGUGAUUCUUUUUUUUUUUGGAUUUAUCUGAUGAAGGGUCGAUAGGGAUGAGCUAUUAACUUCGUACUUGCCGCGCGAUCUCAACCUCGCUACUUGCUUACUUGAAAGUCAAGGAAUUUGUUUCGGGUAUUGGAGCUUGAUACUCCUGGGGUUUGACCGAGGAUUGUAAGGGAGCAAAUUACUCACCUUUAUAUGGUGAGCUGAGCAUUUCUAUUAGGUUGUUGCCAGAACCCAUGACUCUGGUCAAGUUUAGUCUUAAUUUAAUAUUUAGAUUGAAUUAAUUAAUCUGUGUCAUAUGUGUAU
rnacentral:lncRNA from 1 species